AUGCCCAAUGGGGCCCAAGCUCCGACUGAGGAGGGUGAGGCGAGUGGGGGCGAGAGCCAGGGAGAGGAGGAAUGGGACUCGGACAUUGCAGAGGAUGAUGACGACGAUGAUGAUGACGACGGUGAUGAAGAUGACGUUGAGGACGAGGAAGAAGAGGAGGAGGAGGUCGUACCACCGCGUUCAGAAAGGCGGUCGAAGCUUGUCCACGACCCUUCGACUGAACAUGGCAAGGGGGUUGUGACCGUUGCCCAGUCGACCAAACGCCCUCGGACCACCUCUCCGGUGCCGACUGAAAAGGCGCCGAAGCAGCCCAGGGCGGCCUCGUCGAAGCCGACCAAGCUCCUGCCGAAGAUGAAGGUGUCCAUCCCCACCAUAUCAGGGUAA
rnacentral:rRNA from 1 species